GAUGAACGCUGGCGGCGUGCCUAAUACAUGCAAGUCGAGCGAACAGACGAGGAUCUUGCUCCUCUGACGUUAGCGACGGCCGGGUGAGUAACACGUGAAUUACCCCCCUAUAAGACUGGGCUAACUUCGGGCAACCGGAGCUAAUACCAGAUAAUAUCUUCAACCGCAUGGUUCAAUAGAGAAAGCCGGUUUUGCUGUCACUUAUAGAUGGUUCCGGGCCGCAUUAGCUAGUUGGUACGGUCACGGCUUACAAAGGCAACGAUGGGUAGCCGACCUGAGGGGGGGAUCGGCCACACGAGAACUGGAACACGGUGCAGACGCCUGCGGGAGGCAGCAGUAGGGUAUCGUCCGCAGUGGGCGGAAGCUUGACGGAGCGGCGCCGCGUGUGUGAUGGAGGUCUUCGGAGCGGAAUACUCUGUUAUUGGUUAAGAACAAAUGUGUAAGUAACUAUGCACAUCGUGACGGUACCUAAACAGAAAGCCACGGCUAACUACGUG
rnacentral:rRNA from 1 species